UACGAAGGGGGCUAGCGUUGUUCGGAUUUACUGGGCGUAAAGGGCGCGUAGGCGGCGCGUAAAGUCGGACAUGAAAUCAUUGGGCUUAACCCAAUGGCUGUGCCCGAUACUUGCGUGCUUAGAGUGCGGGAGAGGCAAUCGGAAUUCUCGGUGUAGCGGUGAAAUGCGUAGAUAUCGAGAGGAACUCCAGUGACGAAGGUGGGUUGCUGGACCGACACUGACGCUGAGGCGCGGAAGCUAGGGGAGCAAACGGG
rnacentral:rRNA from 1 species